GCAGUGGUGGUUCAGUGCCAGAAUUCUCACCUUCCAUGUGGGAGACUCAGGUUCGAUUCCUGGCCGAGGCA
rnacentral:tRNA from 1 species